CACAUAUUUAUACAUAAGUUAUCAUGGUAUUAUAAGUUUCCGUUGCAACGCACGGGCACUUACCUAAUAUCUUGAGGUAUGUUUCUGAUCUGAAGUACUUAUUUACAACUUCUCUCACUUGUCAUCUAUGUACCAUGUAUGUUUCUGAAAUUACAUGAACAGUAAUGUUUUUUUGGAAGACACAGCAUACCUUUAAUUAUUCAGCUACUGUACAAUGUACAAAUUCUUAAUUUACUGCUAGGCAAAUCAAUGCUCUCAACCAUUUCAACUUCUGUUGCCAUGAGAUGAGAGAACUGAAAUGAUAGUCUCAUUGUUAGUACUUUAACUGUGCUGUUCUAUGGAUCCUUCAUCCUUCACUAUCUAGCAGUCAAUAUGCUUCAGUUCAAAUUGUUUGCAUUUUCUUUCCUUUGUUGGUCUGACAUGUAAAACUUUAUGCUGCAGCAUUCUCACUGGGCUUCUGUCCUUCAUGAUGGACGAUGCACUGACAACUGGAAGCAUCAAGACAUCAGAUGCAGAAAAGAGGCGUUUAGCAAAAGCUUCCCUUGCCUACAAUUGUGAGAGCAAAAACUGUCCGCACUUCAGGAAACUUUUCCCAGAGUAUGUUGAGAAGUACAAUCAACAGCUACAAUUGGAGAACACUGCUGCAGAGCCGGUGCCUCAGGAGAAUCCUGCACCUGCUCCAUCCCCUGCUGCCUAGCAAGCCCCGACCGUGGCCAAUAGGGCACAACCACUGGCGGAGGCGCGCCGUGACAAGAACCAGAAGAAGGCGGUGCCCUUCUGGAUGGUGCUGGUCAUGUUUUCAGUUUUCGGGGCUGUGAUGGCGUUGCCCCUAAUGCAACUUUGACAAUAAUAAAGACAAUAAGAACGUGUGAUGCCAGGGCCGUAAUUUUGUAUAGUUUUCUAUUGGUUUGUCUGAGUGACUCAGUUGGUCCCCUAGACUACCUACCACCUCGGAGUCGUAUUGAUGAACCUGUGAUGGUAUAUCUGAAGAACUUUUGUUCUCAGUUCUCACUCUUGAGUUGCAGCGCCAGAAGGUCGUUCGUUUUUGCUUUCUGUUUCCGAAAUCGUAUACUUAAUUUUUUUUGUUGCCUC